AUUUCAGAUAGGAAGGAGAAAUAUGAAGACAUUUGGGCCCCUUGCGUUUUGUAUUAUCUAGUGACUAAGUGCCGUAACCCCCAUAACAUCCGCACAACGUCGCCCAAAUGAGUGUAUGAGAGGGAAGAAGUUUGAAUGAGGUUAAAGAUGUGCUUAAAGAUUAGAAAGCUUAUAAGAUGGAGAGGGCUCAGUCAGGGGAAGUUUUCUUUCAACCGUUAGGGCUUUUUUUCGCCCGUAUGAUUAAGAUGUAUAAAU